GAUGAACGCUGGCGGCGUGCCUAAUACAUGCAAGUCGAGCGAACGGACGAGAAGCUUGCUUCUCUGAUGUUAGCGGCGGACGGGUGAGUAACACGUGGAUAACCUACCUAUAAGACUGGGAUAACUUCGGAAAACCGGAGCUAAUACCGGAUAAUAUUUUGAACCGCAUGGUUCAAAAGUAAAAGACGGUCUUGCUGUCACUUAUAGAUGGAUCCGCGCUGCAUUAGCUAGUUGGUAAGGUAACGGCUUACCAAGGCAACGAUGCAUAGCCGACCUGAGAGGGUGAUCGGCCACACUGGAACUGAGACACGGUCCAGACUCCUACGGGAGGCAGCAGUAGGGAAUCUUCCGCAAUGGGCGAAAGCCUGACGGAGCAACGCCGCGUGAGUGAUGAAGGUCUUCGGAUCGUAAAACUCUGUUAUUAGGGAAGAACAUAUGUGUAAGUAACUGUGCACAUCUUGACGGUACCUAAUCAGAAAGCCACGGCUAACUACGUGCCAGCAGCCGCGGUAAUACGUAGGUGGCAAGCGUUAUCCGGAAUUAUUGGGCGUAAAGCGCGCGUAGGCGGUUUUUUAAGUCUGAUGUGAAAGCCCACGGCUCAACCGUGGAGGGUCAUUGGAAACUGGAAAACUUGAGUGCAGAAGAGGAAAGUGGAAUUCCAUGUGUAGCGGUGAAAUGCGCAGAGAUAUGGAGGAACACCAGUGGCGAAGGCGACUUUCUGGUCUGUAACUGACGCUGAUGUGCGAAAGCGUGGGGAUCAAACAGGAUUAGAUACCCUGGUAGUCCACGCCGUAAACGAUGAGUGCUAAGUGUUAGGGGGUUUCCGCCCCUUAGUGCUGCAGCUAACGCAUUAAGCACUCCGCCUGGGGAGUACGACCGCAAGGUUGAAACUCAAAGGAAUUGACGGGGACCCGCACAAGCGGUGGAGCAUGUGGUUUAAUUCGAAGCAACGCGAAGAACCUUACCAAAUCUUGACAUCCUUUGACAACUCUAGAGAUAGAGCCUUCCCCUUCGGGGGACAAAGUGACAGGUGGUGCAUGGUUGUCGUCAGCUCGUGUCGUGAGAUGUUGGGUUAAGUCCCGCAACGAGCGCAACCCUUAAGCUUAGUUGCCAUCAUUAAGUUGGGCACUCUAAGUUGACUGCCGGUGACAAACCGGAGGAAGGUGGGGAUGACGUCAAAUCAUCAUGCCCCUUAUGAUUUGGGCUACACACGUGCUACAAUGGACAAUACAAAGGGCAGCGAAACCGCGAGGUCAAGCAAAUCCCAUAAAGUUGUUCUCAGUUCGGAUUGUAGUCUGCAACUCGACUACAUGAAGCUGGAAUCGCUAGUAAUCGUAGAUCAGCAUGCUACGGUGAAUACGUUCCCGGGUCU
rnacentral:rRNA from 1 species